ACAUAUAAGUUUUGCUUUAUUGAAUAUUUUAGAUUUUUGCUUUUUUGGAAGAUUAAGAAUUUUUCAUUUAUUAAAAAUUAAUAAAUGAAUAUAGUUUCUAUUCUUGUGGGAUCGGUACUCACCGGAGGGACUGCAGACGUUCGGAUACAAUUAGCGACUCUUUGCAAAACAUUGACGUCGACUUUGCUAAGUAACAAGACCUUUAAUCAACACACACACUACAAAUUACACUAGGUACCUGAUUGAAAAAAUCCACUAUACCAUGCCAAUGGCUAUUAGUUGUCGAGGCAGUAAACUAAAUAAAAAAAAUUGCAAACACUCAUGAUUAGUGACUUGUUCAAGCCCUUUCUACUACAGUCCUUUUAUAAAUAAGCACUUUAUACCGAUAAAACUUACAGAGCAUAUAAACAAUACAUAAGUAAAGUAGCUUGUGAAGCGGUAGGGAUUAAUUUCAUUUGGGAUGCUAAUUAGGGAGUUAUUUUCACCAGUUUUUUUUUACCCAAAAAAGGAAUCAACAUUAUUCUGAGCCUAUCUUGCUUACUUUUUAUGCUAGAAACUUUUUUUAAAAGACAAGAAUAUUGCUUGUUUUAAACAUGUAAAAAAAGUUAUGAUGAGUUUUCCAUGAAAAGUGUUUCAUUUUUUGAUUAUUUCAUAUUGAAAUAUUCGUUUUUGAAUUUGACAAAUAAGAACCUACUUUUCACUAGCUUCAACUUUGCUUCUACUGGUUCUACAGACUGCACACAUACACCAUUUUUUCAAUUUUUUAAAAGCUAUAUUUUUGCUAAGAAUAUUUUUUUCGACAAAAUAUUUACUUUCUGAGUUAUUUGCUAAAAAUUUUCUAAAAACGUGUUUUUUUGUUUGUUGAAAAAUGAACAUAUUAUUCACUUGCAAAUAACUCGAAAUGUAUUGACUUGAUGAAAAAACUCUAUUGAAUAAAAGUUGCUUAGAAUUAGUCAGUUUAUCUACUUCCGGACGUAUUUUGACGGUAUAUUUUUCACCCCUGAGAAGGGGUGGACUCAACCUUAGAGCAAAAAUACACAUUGGCACAAUAUCACUUUUUUCCUUGACAUGUUAUAUGCGUAUGCCAAAUUUCAUAUUAAACUUCUUUCAAAUCCAAAGGUUCUUCAAAAUCAGGUUUUGCAAUAUUUUAUCGUGAGUGAAUAGGCUAUAAGGCCCAUCGGUGGGUAGAAAGUGAAAAAAAAACUUACUAUGUAUAUCAAAAUAAUUACCAGUUUCUAAGCAAAAUUUGCUUAAAAAUUGAUUACCAAAAAAAACUUACUAUGUAUAUCAAAAUAAUUACCAGUUUCUAAGCAAAAUUUGCUUAAAAAUUGAUUACCAAAUUGAGAGAAUGAUUUUUUUUUCUCUGAUUCUGGCCUUGGUUUAGAACUAGAACCUUUAGCCACGUAAUUGUAUAACUUAUCACUAAGUCAGGUGUAAUGUGUAGUGUGUGUGUGUUGAGUAAGUGUCUUGUUACUUUGCAAAGUCGACAUCAUUAUCUUUGCAAAGAGACGCUAAUUGUAUCCGAACGUCUGAUUAGAACAUGGAAUGUCUGAGAGAAUGAUUAGAACAUGGAAUAUAAAAAUGAAUUUGAAGAUAACUGAUUAAUUUAUCUUGAAGUCGGUUGUAUUUUCCUGAUAUUUGACAGAAGACAAAGCAAAAAACUGAGUUUGAUUGGAAAUCAUAAAUUAACAAUUCUCUUUUUUUUUUAUCUCAGUUAGCCCUAUUUGAUUUAUUUAACAUUUUACAUUUUUUUAAUUCAAUAUUAAUUAAUGCAUUUGAGCGGGAUGCGGGCCCCAUCAAGUGUCCGGGCCCUAUGCGGCUGUCUACUGUCUAGUCCGCCUAAUGGAUAAUCUGGCGCUGCGCCCAACCCAGUCUACCUACUAAAAUUAAACAUUUCGUUAUAUUAAUAAUUUUUAACAAUAGUAGACAAUAUUAAACAUUAUUUGAACAUAAAUACAGUUUGUGAUGUGAAAUCAGUAGGUACAAUUGUACAGGGUGUGAAUAUUCCUACGAAAUUAAAAAAAACGUAAUUAUCUUUUAAACUAAGUAUCCGGUAUGAUAUUACAAAACCUUAUAUUUUAAGAAAGGAGACAUCAAGGAAAAUCCUAAAAUGUAAAAAUUUACAGUGUGUUCUAUUAAAAAAAACGAAGUUAUAAGCAACAUAAGUAGUAACUAGAUAAGUAGUCAUAAGUAGUAAAUAGAUGAAAAUAUUUUCAUUAAACAGUUCACUCUUCAAAACCCCUUGAUUCUAAUUUUCAUGAUCCAGUUACCUUUAAUUCUCGAGAUAUUUCUAAAUGGCUCUUUAUCUGCUUCACCCUAUAUACAUUGUAAUUUUACAGUCUGGUUAAGUUAUUGUUUUCAACCACUACGUACUACAUGAAUUCCAUAAAGUUAAAACAAUACAUAUAUUUACUAAAUACAGUCGAACCCGCUUAUUAGAAUACCGCUUAUAGGAAUAUCCCGGUUUAAGGAAUAUAAAUUUAAGGUCCCGAAACGUUUUUAAUAGCCACCAAUGAUCGGUUAUUAGAAUAUACUGGUUAUAGGAAUAUGUUUGCUUGGCACGAAGGCUAUUCCAAUAAGCGGGUUCGGCUAUAUCGACAAGACCAAAACAAACUUAAAAAACAUAUAUUUUUCAGUUGCAACGAAUGUAAGGAACCAAUUGGAGGCAACUCACAUAGAUUGUUAUCUACGAAUCAAGUAGCAACAGAAAUGGAUGGAGCAAGAUAUGGAGCUUGGUCAGAACAAGCAAACAUGAAUAAUUAUGUUUUAGAUUAAGGUGGUUAUAGAAGCAUAUUAUAACAAGAAAUGCAUAGGUAUUUGGACACUAUAACCAUAACAUCGAAGAAAUAUGUUACUGCAAUUGUUUUAAAUAAAAAUAUUAAUUAUUGUUACUUUAGAUUUAUGUUCUAUUCAACAAAUAAAGUAUUUUAAUUGUC